AUGAAUAAAAAAGCUGUCUCCACCAAAAAGGUUGUAAAUUUGUUAUCAGUGAUUUUCACCAAUCCGAAAACCCUAACACCUGCGUGCGAUUCCCCACCAUCUCAAUCUCAAUUCUAAACACUUCCGUCGUACUUCAAUUUUCAAAACUUAAGGUUAUAGUGAUGGAAGAGGUUAAACAUAAAUCUAGGAAAGAAGAUACUGAUUCUAAGAGGAGUCAUCGUAGUGAUCGAGAUCGUAAGGAUCGAAGCAGCGAUGUUAGUAGGCACAAGGAUAAGAGGGAUCGUAGUGAAUCUCGAAGGCACGAUAGAGAUAAAAGUACUGAUUCUGAUGAGAAACAUGAUAGAGAUAGGGAGAAGAGGAGAGAAAUUAAAGAGAAGGAGAAGGCACGUUUUCAUGAUGUCGAACGAGAAAAACAGAGGGAGAGGAAGAGGGAAAGAGAGAGGGAUGAGAAGGAAAAGGAGAGAGUGAGGGAGAAGGAAAGAGAGAGGGAAGAGAAAGAAAGGGAGAGAGUUAGGGAGAGAAAAGAGGAGAAAGAGAGGAUUAGAGAGAAAGAAAGAAGGGAGAGGGAAAGGAGGGAUUAUGAUAGAGAGAAGGAAAAGGAAAAGGAAAAGGAAAAGGAGAGAGAUAGAGGUCGGAGAGUACGUGAGAGGGAGAAGCAUCGGGAUGUUGAUAGUGAAAACAGUGAUGGGGAAUUGAGGGAGAGAAAUCGUAAGCGGCAUAAGAAAGAUGAUGACGAUUACAAGAGGCGGGAGAAGGAAAAGAGUUCGGGAAAGUCAAGUAGGAAAAUUGAGGUGGUUGAUGGGAGUCCUAGGAGAAAGAGUGACGGAGAUGACUCGGAUUCUAAAGAGAAAGCUAAGAAACAGACCCGUGAGGAGGAGAUGGAAGAGGAACAAAAGAGGUUGGAUGAUGAAAUGGAAAAGCGGAGGAGGAAAGUUCAAGCCUGGCAAGAGCUAAGGAGGUUGGAGGAAGAGGCACAAAGAAAAAAGCAAGGUGAAGCAAGUGUUGUUGAAGCCGAGUCUGGAAAGAAAUGGACACUUGAUGGGGAGGAAUCUGAUGAUGAAGAUGGAACUGGUAAACAUACGAGUAUGGAUAUAGACGAAGACGACAAACCUGCUGAUAAUGAACCUACUGAUUCAAUGGCGGUAGAUGUUGACAAGGGAACUGUUGCGUCUGAUUUACAGAAUGGAGACGCUGGUGCUCCUGCAGAAGAUGAAAUAGACCCGUUGGAUGCUUUCAUGAAUUCUAUGGUUCUUCCCGAGGUUGAAAAGCUUAAUAAUGCUGUUAACUCAGCACCUCCUGAUAAAGCUUCUGACUUGAAUCCCAAAGAUAAAGGGGCUGAGAGUAGAAAUGGUGGACAAUCAAGGAAAGGUUCAAAUAAAUCUAUUGGCAGGAUAAUUCCUGGUGAAGAGUCUGAUUCAGAUUAUGCAGAUCCUGAAGUUGAAGGCGAUCCAUUAGAUGAAGAUGACGAUGAGUUCAUGAAAAGAGUGAAGAAAACAAAAGCUGAAAAGCUUUCUAUUGUUGACCACUCAAAGAUUGACUAUAUACCAUUCAGGAAGAAUUUCUAUAUUGAAGUGAAGGAGGUUUCAAAGAUGACUGUUGAAGAAGUUGCAUUUUACAGGAAGCAGUUAGAGUUGAAGAUACAUGGAAAGGAUGUGCCCAAGCCUGUAAAGUCAUGGAAUCAAACUGGACUCACCAGCAAAAUUUUAGACACAAUAAAGAAGGCGAACUUUGAAAAGCCAAUGCCUAUUCAAGCUCAGGCGUUGCCUGUAAUUAUGAGUGGUCGAGAUUGCAUAGGCGUUGCCAAAACCGGGUCAGGUAAAACCCUUGCUUUUGUUCUGCCAAUGUUGAGGCAUAUCAAGGAUCAGCCACCAGUUGUUGUAGGAGAUGGACCUAUUGGGCUUAUUAUGGCCCCUACAAGAGAACUUGUUCAACAGAUUCACAGUGAUAUAAGGAAGUUCACAAAGGUAAUGGGUAUCAGGUGUGUGCCUGUCUAUGGAGGUUCUGGUGUUGCUCAACAAAUCAGUGAAUUGAAACGUGGUACUGAGAUAGUAGUUUGUACUCCUGGUAGGAUGAUUGACAUAUUGUGCACUAGUAGUGGAAAAAUUACUAACCUGCGUAGAGUAACUUAUCUGGUCAUGGAUGAGGCAGAUCGGAUGUUUGAUAUGGGCUUUGAACCUCAAAUCACAAGAAUUGUUCAGAAUAUUCGGCCAGAUCGUCAAACAGUUCUCUUCUCUGCCACUUUCCCCCGCCAAGUUGAAAUUUUGGCUCGCAAGGUUUUGAAUAAACCUGUUGAAAUACAAGUUGGUGGGAGGAGUGUUGUGAACAAAGAUAUAGCACAGUUAGUUGAGGUGAGGCCAGAAAAUGAGAGGUUCCUUAGACUCUUGGAACUACUUGGAGAAUGGUAUGAGAAAGGAAAGAUUUUGGUAUUUGUCCACUCACAAGAUAAAUGUGAUGCACUGUUCAAGGAUCUAAUGAAACAUGGUUAUCCAUGUCUUUCUCUUCAUGGGGCUAAGGAUCAGACAGACCGUGAAUCCACAAUAUCUGAUUUUAAAAGCAAUGUCUGCAAUUUGCUGGUUGCGACAAGUAUUGCUGCCAGGGGAUUGGACGUUAAGGAGCUCGAAUUGGUGAUCAAUUUUGAUGUUCCAAACCACUAUGAAGAUUAUGUACAUCGUGUUGGGCGUACUGGCCGUGCUGGCCGAAAGGGUUGCGCUAUCACAUUUAUUUCUGAGGAAGAUGCAAGAUAUGCACCAGAUCUGGUGAAAGCUUUGGAGCUAUCUGAGCAGAUUGUUCCUGAUGAUCUGAAAUCCCUUGCCGAGGGCUUUAUGGCGAAAGUGACUCAAGGACUGGAGCAAGCCCAUGGGACUGGUUAUGGAGGCACUGGGUUUAAAUUUAAUGAAGAGGAAGAUGAGGUGAGGAGAGCAGCGAAGAAAGCCCAAGCCAAAGAAUAUGGAUUUGAAGAAGACAAGUCAGAUUCAGAAGAUGAAGAUGAAGGUAUUAGGAAGGCAGGAGGUGAUAUCUCACAGCACCAUACUCCGAUCUCUGCAGCCCAACUGAUUCCAAUUGGUGGGAUACCAUCUGUUUCAACAGUCUUGCCUGUGAUAGGAUCUAUUGCUACAAACGAUGGGGCUACUCGAGCAGCAUUAGCUGCUAUGAACCUGCAGCAAAACAUAGCAAAAAUACAAUCUGAAGCAUUGCCAGAGCAUUAUGAGGCUGAGUUGGAAAUAAAUGAUUUCCCUCAGAAUGCUCGUUGGAAAGUCACACACAAGGAAACUUUGGGCCCCAUUUCUGAGUGGACUGGAGCUGCUAUUACUACAAGGGGGCAGUUUUUCCCACCUGGCAAAGUCGCAGGGCCUGGGGAUCGCAAACUCUACUUGUUCAUUGAGGGUCCUAGUGAACAGUCUGUUAAGAGAGCCAAAGCAGAAUUGAAACGAGUUUUGGAAGAUAUCACUCAUCAGGCUUUGCAACUACCUGGUGGAACUCAACCUGGCAAAUACUCUGUUGUAUAAAAGGGCAAAAUGAGACACUGUUAAACACUCUUGUCUCGCACCCCCAUCCGGGACAAGUUGCUCAUAUGACUGCCUUUCUUGCCCGAUCAUUCUCAUACAGCUAGGUGGUCUUUCAAGCUUAAUCUCGUAUAUUCAAAUAUUGUUCCAUCCUUGCACUUGCUUCGUGGAUGUCUAAGGUGUUAAUCAUGAUGCAACUUUUUCAUCUAGGUUUUGGUUCGAUGAUCAUUUGUCUUGAAAAGGGAUGCAAGCUGUGAUUGGGGAGAUCACUCGAUUCAGUUAUUUAUGUAUUUUCCUAACUGCCAUGAUUUGGAUUUCAGCACGUGUAACGUAAAACAUAUCUUCAUAUUAAUUUUACCACUUAAUGGAUAUGUUUAUCAUGGCAAAUCAUCAGUUUAGACUCAUAAGUCAUGGCACUUGUAAGAUCACUGGCUUUGCACUUUCCCUUGUUUUUUUUUGAACUCACAAUUCUAUUUUGUGCUGUAAUUCCAAUUCCAAAGGAUGCUGUAACAUUUUAUUUGGUUUGCUGAAAGUAUGUUCAUGAAUUAUUGAUGAAAAAUUAUCACAUUUAUUAUUGGAAAGUCUACACUGUGUAUGCUUACCGGUCUCUUUUCGUGGGUUUAGUAACUUUAUGCUGGAUCAGAAGUAACACAGUUGCUCAUUCUUUGUUAAACUUAUUGGAUCAGCUGUGCUCACUCUAACAGCAGAAAUACAUCCUGACAUCAUCUGUGGAAGUUGAUGGCACCCAAGCAUUUAUUGAUUAUAGCUUAAAGAGGUGAAAUGGCAAGGUUUCACUUCUGACAAGGUUUUAAUUCUUAAUCUUUGCUCUUUCUGUUUUGUCCAGUGGUUAUUGCUUGAUGUCUUGCUAUAUCAUCUUCCUGUCACAUUUUACGUCGCUUGGUAUAUGUGAUUUUACCAGUUAUUUUUGCAAUGCAAAAUCUCAUUAGAUGAUCAGCUUGAACCACGGGAAGGUUACCAAGACCAGCAUUCUGGGGAUCACUAGUUAUGUUGUCUUUUGCUGGAUAUACUACCACACAAUGAGUUAUACGUUAAAAUAAUGCUACUCAACUUUAGGAGAAAAAUGAUGAUAGCUUAGAAUGAGUGGAAGUUUGCAACAUAUUGGCGGUUUUUUUGUUGUCAGCUUGUGUUUUUCCCAACAUCGGAAGUUAAAUCAUGUCCAUGCUAAGAGUUUGUUUAACUGUUUAAACGAAACUUGUAAAUCAAGGUUCUUAAAAUUUAUGCAAUCCUUGAUACAGUUGGUAUAUCAUGUCAUCUUAAUUUAUUACCAAAGUAGUGCCUGGCUGGCUUGCCACAAAACACUAACAGUGAAAUGCAAACUAUCCUUGUUCA